ACAACGCAAUGCUGGCAGCAUGUCUAUGUUUGUAUCACAUUUUGUUAUUUCAUUUUCAUCUAAGAUAUUCUCAUUUAAGAUAAUAAUGUGAUAUCAGAAUAAUUUUUUCGAUUUUUAUUUCAAACUUUCUCUGUAGGAAUGUUAACAGACCAGAUUUCACAGAAAAGUUUGAGAUCUUUUAUUUGACUUACCUAGUACAUCUGCGAUUUUAAAAUGCAAAGAAUAUUGAUUUAAGUAGUCAAGAAACUCCAGGAGUACAAAAAAGUGUCUGUGCAUGAGGCUUGUGCCGCUAAUUCACCUGCAACUAUGAUCCCCCCCUGGGAACACCUGCUGCUAUAAAAAGAACUGAGAUGACCGAACACAAUUGUGAUAUCAUGCACGAAAUCCUGUUUUUUUUUUU